AACGCUAGCUACAGGCUUAACACAUGCAAGUCGAGGGGCAGCAUGGUCUUAGCUUGCUAAGGCCGAUGGCGACCGGCGCACGGGUGAGUAACACGUAUCCAACCUGCCGUCUACUCUUGGACAGCCUUCUGAAAGGAAGAUUAAUACAAGAUGGCAUCAUGAGUCCGCAUGUUCACAUGAUUAAAGGUAUUCCGGUAGACGAUGGGGAUGCGUUCCAUUAGAUAGUAGGCGGGGUAACGGCCCACCUAGUCUUCGAUGGAUAGGGGUUCUGAGAGGAAGGUCCCCCACAUUGGAACUGAGACACGGUCCAAACUCCUACGGGAGGCAGCAGUGAGGAAUAUUGGUCAAUGGGCGAGAGCCUGAACCAGCCAAGUAGCGUGAAGGAUGACUGCCCUAUGGGUUGUAAACUUCUUUUAUAAAGGAAUAAAGUCGGGUAUGCAUACCCGUUUGCAUGUACUUUAUGAAUAAGGAUCGGCUAACUCCGUGCCAGCAGCCGCGGUAAUACGGAGGAUCCGAGCGUUAUCCGGAUUUAUUGGGUUUAAAGGGAGCGUAGAUGGAUGUUUAAGUCAGUUGUGAAAGUUUGCGGCUCAACCGUAAAAUUGCAGUUGAUACUGGAUAUCUUGAGUGCAGUUGAGGCAGGCGGAAUUCGUGGUGUAGCGGUGAAAUGCUUAGAUAUCACGAAGAACUCCGAUUGCGAAGGCAGCCUGCUAAGCUGCAACUGACAUUGAGGCUCGAAAGUGUGGGUAUCAAACAGGAUUAGAUACCCUGGUAGUCCACACGGUAAACGAUGAAUACUCGCUGUUUGCGAUAUACGGCAAGCGGCCAAGCGAAAGCGUUAAGUAUUCCACCUGGGGAGUACGCCGGCAACGGUGAAACUCAAAGGAAUUGACGGGGGCCCGCACAAGCGGAGGAACAUGUGGUUUAAUUCGAUGAUACGCGAGGAACCUUACCCGGGCUUAAAUUGCAGAUGAAUUACGGUGAAAGCCGUAAGCCGCAAGGCAUCUGUGAAGGUGCUGCAUGGUUGUCGUCAGCUCGUGCCGUGAGGUGUCGGCUUAAGUGCCAUAACGAGCGCAACCCUUGUUGUCAGUUACUAACAGGUUCCGCUGAGGACUCUGACAAGACUGCCAUCGUAAGAUGUGAGGAAGGUGGGGAUGACGUCAAAUCAGCACGGCCCUUACGUCCGGGGCUACACACGUGUUACAAUGGGGGGUACAGAGGGCCGCUACCACGCGAGUGGAUGCCAAUCCCAAAAACCUCUCUCAGUUCGGACUGGAGUCUGCAACCCGACUCCACGAAGCUGGAUUCGCUAGUAAUCGCGCAUCAGCCACGGCGCGGUGAAUACGUUCCCGGGCCUUGUACACACCGCCCGUCAAGCCAUGGGAGCCGGGGGUACCUGAAGUGCGUAACCGCGAGGAGCGCCCUAGGGUAAAACUGA
rnacentral:rRNA from 1 species